GCUCAACCGGGGAGGGUCAUUGGAAACUGGGGAACUUGAGUGCAGAAGAGGAGAGUGGAAUUCCACGUGUAGCGGUGAAAUGCGUAGAGAUGUGGAGGAACACCAGUGGCGAAGGCGACUCUCUGGUCUGUAACUGACGCUGAGGCGCGAAAGCGUGGGGAGCGAACAGGAUUAGAUACCCUGGUAGUCCACGCCGUAAACGAUGAGUGCUAAGUGUUAGAGGGUUUCCGCCCUUUAGUGCUGCAGCAAACGCAUUAAGCACUCCGCCUGGGGAGUACGGUCGCAAGACUGAAACUCAAAGGAAUUGACGGGGGCCCGCACAAGCGGUGGAGCAUGUGGUUUAAUUCGAAGCAACGCGAAGAACCUUACCAGGUCUUGACAUCCUCUGACAACCCUAGAGAUAGGGCUUCCCCUUCGGGAGCAGAGUGACAGGUGGUGCAUGGUUGUCGUCAGCUCGUGUCGUGAGAUGUUGGGUUAAGUCCCGCAACGAGCGCAACCCUUGAUCUUAGUUGCCAGCAUUCAGUUGGGCACUCUAAGGUGACUGCCGGUGACAAACCGGAGGAAGGUGGGGAUGACGUCAAAUCAUCAUGCCCCUUAUGACCUGGGCUACACACGUGCUACAAUGGGCAGAACAAAG
rnacentral:rRNA from 1 species